rnacentral:lncRNA from 1 species
ACCAUAGAGAAGCAGACUUUAGUUCUCGGCUUCCCACCCCCAGGCAUAUACAGGAUUACACUUCCAUGUCCUCUGGUUUGUAGGGUUAUAUGAUUAGUUCUAGAAGAUAAUUUGUAAGUGGAAUUGAUAAGCCAUUUCUGAGCCUGAAUUGCCAAGACAAAACCAACCAAUACUCUUUCUCUUCUGCAUUGUGACCCAGAGUUCCCAAUAGGUCAUCAAAGUGAGACAAAGAUGUGACCUCAGAGUUGACUUGAAUCUAAACUGAAGAUUGACUUGACUGGAACCUGGAAACCAAGAACCAAGGAAACCUGGAACCAAGGCCAGUCUGACUGCUUAGGCCAGAAAUAAGACUCACAAUCAGACUUCAGAGCUACACCAUCAGCAAGAAGUGACAUAGCACACAUUAGCAGGGGAUAAUAACCAGUUCCCUGGGAACAUGGCCUUACCAAAAGGACACUAAUGAAGAAGUCCAACAGGACUCAGGAGCAGAUGCCAACCAAUCUUCAGGGUUAAUAUCAAACUGCCUUAGCACAUAGUGAAAGUCAAGGACCAACAUGAAGAGCUGACACAUACCAGAAUGUCUCCACCCAUCACACAAUUCCAUUCAAAUAUCAUCCUGCAAAGAAGCAGGAACAGCACUAAGAAAUCUGAGCCCUCCUGAAAGAAGCUCACUCAUCUGAAAGAGGCUACUGGGUCCAGUAGAGAUCUGAUUCUGGGGGCAGUUCUGUAAUCUGGCAUAGAUGGUGGACAAAAAUCACACCUAACUCUGACUCUCUGAAGGUUGCUAGCAAUAGUGAAAACUGGGCUGAUUUAUUCUGUAUGUCUCAUUUGGUAACUUGAGCUGUGUACAGGGACUUAGAAACUCUGAAGUCAGAAAAGGAACAUGAAACAAUCAGAACAAAAGAGCAUCUCUCUUCCAUGUGGCAAUUUCAGGGCAGCCUCUAUCCAAGCUGUGUUAUGUUGGAGCUUCUCUACCCAUGUGCUCCAUUGUGCAUUCCAGACAAGCUUUGACUAAAGUUGCAUGGCUACCAAGACAGUCUGGGCACUAAUACAUGCACAUAUUUUAUAUGAUGCUAUUAGCUUUGGCCUAUGCACAGCCCUCAACGUCCACAGUGCAUUUGCAGGGCCACUUGGUCAAAAAAAAAAAAAAAAAAAAAAAAAAGAAAAGAAAAAAAAUGGCAACUUAAAAAUAGGGUAUCUCUUUGCCCAUAUAUGCCUAAAAGCUUCUAGAACAAAUAAGUAGAAUUGUGGAUUUUGCAUUUAGAGAUAAAAAUAUCCCUGUACUUCAUGCACCUUUAUAAAAAUCUGGUUCACAAGCCCUUUUAUUGUGAUUUGAAUUAAUCUAAAACAUAAGGUAACUCCAUCAAUAUCCUCUCUGUGAAUAAAAAAAAAAUAUGUUUCAUGAAAAAAUAUGAGGAAAAAUCUAAUUUUGUAAGAUUUUCCUCAAACAUUUUGAUAUAAUGUUGUGAUUUACACCAGGAGUUGACAUACUUUUAGCUAUUUUAUUAUGAUUUUAAGAUUUUACAAAAUAUCUAUUUGGAUUUUAAGAAUAGUGAAUUUUGUAUUAUGUAUUACAUAUUGCAGAGUUCAAACAAAGUCUCAUGUUGAAAGGAACCAUUUAGUAUCUUAAGGACAAAUCUAAACAUUUUCCCCAAUAUAUUCAUAUUUAUUUAUUUAUCUUUCUAAAGAAUAUAAAAUACUUUAUACUAGUAACUCUAUGGAAUUGAGAAAUAAGUAGCUUAAUGCUAAAAAAUAGUUUCUAAAAUGCUCAUCCAUGAAUUGUAUUGGAAGUAUUAGGCAAAAAAAAAAAAUUUCUUGGCUCCAUCAACAGAUGAGUGCAGUCCAUGUUCUGAGGAAACAGACUCAAUGGCUCAGCAUGGGAAAGGUGACAACCACAAGAAAAAGGAACAAUCCAGUCAGUCCCUUUUGCCUGCAUUGACUUUAUGCUGUAUAAUACGUGAUCUGUAUCCUGAAUGCACUUUUGAUAGUGUGCAGUCAAAGCAGUUGACAGUUUCCACUGUCUCCAUGGGGUCUCACAGGCAGGUGGGCACUUGAAGAUUUACAGCCCAGGAUCUCAGCAUCUGAGUUAUGAAGAGAGCAGUCCCUGUCUGGAAACGAGUAUGUAUUGCAAGCUUUUGUGGGGAGCAGAAAGAAAAAAAACCUUAAUAUGAUUCCUCUGGUCAAUUUCAACCACCUCUGCCAAGACCAGGGUUCUCUUCACCAAGCUGCACCUACAGCCCCCAUGACUGACAGCAUGAGAAGUGGCCCUGAGGCUGGAAGGCAGCAGCCUCCGGAAUGUUCUGAGCCAGCUUGAUCAGGGUCCCUAGAGCAGCAAGAAUGGCAGAACAAGGGACUCCCUGCACAAGCAAAAUGUGGAAUGCAAGGCUCACGUGGCUACUUUUGGAGACAGUUUUCUGAGUGUUUGUUUUUGCUUUUUUGACUUUUGUCAGGAUAAAUACAGAACACAUAAUUUCUUAAGGAGAUUUUUGAGAAGAAAAAAUGAAGAUUAAUAUUAUAGCAUGUUCUUAUUUAGAAUGCACAGAUUUCAGCAAUCUGGUUUUGUAUGGUAACUAUUAAAUAUUUAAAUUUUAGGAAAUGUCAGUUGAAAUAACUAAGCAGUCAAAUCCAAUUUUCUAGAUAUUUAAAUUUAUAUCUAAUGGCAUCAAUUUUAUCAAGCAGUUAUAGGUUUCACUUCUCAAAAUCCAUCAGUUUUGAAAAAUUUUAGUUCAGGUAUCUUGAGAGGCAAACUUUUCAGCAAUGUGACUCUUUGUACAAAAAAGCUAAGGUGUAUUCUCGUAUCAGGGUCAUUUUGUUAUAUUUAUAUAUGAAACACACUUCAGCCACCUCAGACUUCAAAGGGUGUCACAGAGCUGAGGCCUUCCAGGAAACUGAGGCAGCAUGAAGACCUCCCCCCUUCAAACCAUGAUUCUUGAAAAGCAUCUCAGAGUAACAGGAAUGAGUUCAUUAGAAGGGAUGGGAGGGGGGAAAAGGGACACUCUCAAGGGACACAAGGACAGUGUGCCUCUCCUGCAUUCCAGUUUUAUUGGAGAUCCUAGAGAAGUUUCCAGAGUCCUGCUCAGGUCUACCUCUUUAUUUUUUAAAAAAUAUUUACUUCUUAGUUGUAGUUGGACACAAUACCUUUAUUUUAUUUAAUUAUAUGUGGUGCUGAGGAUUGAACCCAGGGCCUCACAUGUGCUAGGUGAGUGCUCUACCGCUGAGCCACCACCCCACCCCCCCUCUUGACUUUUCACUAACAGCAGGAUGACAUCAGAGUUUGAAGUCCGCAUUGCCAUGACAACUCUAUGUCACCUUGGCCCAUGCUGGUUCUCAUUUGAUUCUUAAUCAUAAUAUUUUACAGAUUUUAUGGUUAGGAGGAACUAUCCUUAUCUCCCUGAGUUUUGAGAUCUGGUGUAUAAAGAGGGUCAUAAAAAAUCUCCCCUUCAGGGUAAUGUGGGCUCCUCUUAUUGACAUUUUUUCAGUCCUGCAUUUCUUCUGCAGAUAACAGGUAGUUUGCUGAGGAAUGAGACAUAUCCUGUGUACUUAGGCCAGACAGGAUUGCAGGUAAAUUGCUUCUUGGAAAACAAAGCAUGUGGGUGUCAGCCCAAUGGGCCCAUUUUAUAAAAUCAUUCCCUUAACCUUCUGUUCCCAACUAUUUGCAUCUGGCUGUCUCCUAACAAUGGGAGCUCUAGAAGAAGAAGGAGCAGAGAUUUCAAAAAUCACUCUAGGAGUGUUCAGUUCUUUGUUGAAAGAUAAUACUCACCCAUUAGUAUCUCCACAAUAACCAGCUCUUCCACGAGGGAGCUGGUAAAUCCACUGACAAAUGUAGUGGCAAGACCAUGGGCCAUGGUGCUCAGCUCCCUGGGUUCUGCCUCGCUGCUUUUGAUCCUUGGAUACAUAGGAACCUGCCCAGAAUUCGCUACUCAGCCCUCUCAGUACCAUUCAAAGAACCCUUUUAUUUUUUAUAAAUGUUUUCCUAAGAAAUAUUUUAUUGCUUUUCAUAAAUCAGUAGAAAAUAAAAUACAUAUGUCUGUAAAUGAAAUGCAUGAGUAAAAAAAAUAAACACUAAAAUAUAAAAUGUGGAAUGCACAGAGAGCCUACAUCCUGAGAGCAAAUCUUGACCCCUCACACAUCAGAUACAGCACUAGUCUCUAGAGUCUAUAAAGAACUCAAAAAGCUAAGCACCAAAAAAACAAAUAACCCAAUCAACAAAUGGGCUAAGGACCGGAACCGACACUUCUCAGAAAAAGAUAUAUAAUCAAUUAGCAAAUGUAUGAAAAAAUGGCAUCAUCUCUAACAAUCAGAGAAAUGCAAAUCAAAACUACUCUAAGUUAUCAUCUCACUCCAGUCAGAAUGGCAGCUAUUAUGAAGACAAACAACAAAAAGUGUUGGCGAAGAUGUGGGGGGAAAGGUACACUCAUACAUUGUUGGUGGGACUGCAAAUCGGUGCAGCCAAUAUGGAAAGAGGUAUGGAUAUUCCUUGGAAAUCUUGGAAUGGAACCAUCAUUUGAUUCAGCUAUCCCUCUCCACGGACUGUACCCAAAGGACUUAAAAACAGCAUACUACAGGGACACAGCCACAUCAAUGUUUAUAGCAGUACAAUUCACAAUAGCUAAACUGUGGAGCCAACCUAGAUGCCCUUCAGUUGGAUGAAUGGAUUAAAAAAAUGUGGCAUAUAUUCACAAUGGAAUUUUACGCAGCAAUAAAAGACAAUAAAAUCAUGGCAUCUGCAGGGAAAUGGAUGGAGUUAGAGAAGAUAAUGCUAAGUGAAGUUAGCCAAUCCCCAAAAAAUCAAAUGCCGAAUGUUUUCUCUGAUAUAAGGAGGCUGACUCAUAGUGGGGUAGGGAGGGAAAGCAUGGAAGGAAUAGAUGAAUUCUAGAUAGG